UUUAAAAAAAAAAAAAUUAAAAUGCUUCUGCAGCGAGACAUUAUAAAUGAUUUGACUCAUCAGUUUGAAACGAAAAGUUCUUCCACAAAAAAGUUUUGGUUUUGCUCAAUCAAUUUCAUUCAGCAUGUGCCACUGCUCCACUCAAAUUCCGAGUUAGUUAGGGAAGUAGCUGUUUCUGCCAUGGAAGGUAACAAGGACGAAGCAUUGCGCUGCGUUCGGAUCGCAGAGGAAGCAAUCGCGUCGGGGAACAAAGACCGCGCCGUCAAAUUCCUCAGAAUCGCUCAGCGACUAAACCGCGAUUUGCCGAUUCAAUCAUUGCUCCAAAAGUGCGAGGGCCUCGAUUCUCAGUCAUCCACCGCUGCCGCUCAUGGCGCGCAGGCCAGCGGUACUUCUUCGCGGCGCGAACCUUUGAACGGGGAGAGGAGUCACGUGAGUUACACUGAGGAGAACGUUCGGCUGAUUAGGGAAAUCAAAGGAAAGAGCGACUACUACGCGAUUCUUGGAUUGGAGAGGAGUUGCUCCGUCGAAGAGAUUCGGAAAGCGUAUAGGAAGCUCUCGCUGAAGGUUCAUCCCGAUAAGAACAAAGCGCCGGGCUCAGAAGACGCGUUCAAGAAGGUCUCGAAGGCUUUCAAGUGUUUGAGCGAUGACGGUUCUAGAAGAAUGUAUGACCAGACGGGAACCGUCGAUGAUUUCGACCAGGGCGAGGUGAAUCAUUUCCGGCGGAGGAGGAGAAGGACGACGACGGCAACCACGACGCGCGAUUUCUUCGAAGACGAGUUCGAUCCUGACGAGAUAUUUAGGGCUUUCUUCGGACACUCCGAUGUGUUCGGGAGGAACCAUGUUUUCAGGCCCCGCGGCAUGGGGAAUCCCCAUAGGACUGAGGUUAAUGAUGGAUCCGGAGGGAGGCAUCACAAUGUUAUGCUUGUGAUUCAGCUUUUGCCGCUUUUGAUUAUUGUUCUGCUCGCGUACUUACCGUUUUCUGAGCCUGAGUAUUCCUUGCACAAGCAUUAUAACUACCAGAUUCCGAAAACGACUGAGCUGCACGGUGUGCAGUUCUUCGUGAAAUCGCAGGAGUUUGAAGCGAAUUAUCCGGUGGGGAGUGAUGCUCGUGUGGCGGUUGAGGAAAGUGUGUUAAAGGAUUACCGGAGUAUGCUUCGGAGAUACUGUCAGGUGGAGAUGCAGAGGCGGAGUUGGAAUAGGAAUCUGCCUACUCCUCACUGUGAUAAGCUGCAGAACUUUGCAGUCAUGGCAUGAAGAAACAAGGUAUAUUUGGGCAUGCUGAACAGCAACAAGAAAUCCAUGUACACAGUUUUACGACCUAGGGGAGGACUAUAUCUUCCACAAAUUAAGCAGUGCCGCAAUGCAUAGUUGCAUACACGGGAAGAAAACAUGAAAUUCCUGCACGUAUUCAACCCAGUUAAUCUUUAAUUAUUCACGAGGACCAAGAGUAUUCAUGACUGAUGAGUAUUUCAGAGAAAAAGUUGGGAGCCACAGAUGACAGAACCAACAAUCCUUCAACAGCAAGAUGGGUGAGUCAGAAGCAACAAACACAACAUUUUCAAUCAGCGCUUGCAUGAAUUUGUCACAGAUCUUCCUCCAAAGUGAGGUAGAGGGGGGAUUCGAAUUCUGGUGCCCAAAUUGGCAAGAUACUUGAGAAGUUUUUGCCUUGGAUUCAAUUAUCAACACUAAAGAAGGGCAGGGAAGGGAUAGAGAAGCAACUGUUGAUAGAUUUCCUCUUGUUUCAUAACUUGUUUGAGGGGAAAGCAAUUAGCGUCAGUUGCUGCAACACCAACUUUUUCAUGGCUUAAGGAAGUAUUGUAUCACUUGCUGAGUUUCUGUGCACAUUUUUUUUUCAGGAUAUCUAAUAUAUCCGUGGGAGUGACUCUUAUUAUAGGCUGUAUCCUAACUGAGUAGCUUCCAGUCUGUUGCUGUACACUUUUUCCUGUGAGAAGUCUCUGAUGAAUGUGCUGAAACAUGUGUUUGUAUUGUUUGAGGGAUAUAUAGAUGUGAUUAUCUAUUAUGCUAUACGCGAUUGUUAAUGACGCAUAACAUGUCAGCAAAUAAUUACACCAGUCAAAGUCAUAAAAGUAUCAUCAGUGUUGGACAUUUAUUUAUAUACAAGCCCAAGCCCAAGAUCCGAGUUUUCUUAGUUACUUGGGGGUAAGAGGUUAUUUUAGUUGUAGGCGUAUAUGUGAUGAAGGAAAACAACCUAUUGCUUCAUUAAGGUGAAUCACUAUUUCGUCAAUUAAAGAAGUGUUGCAGUCAUCUUAUUGAAUUUGAUUUUGACCAGGUUUGUGAAUUUUCCUUUUCUAUCUGGUAAGAGUAUUAAUUUUGUGUGAUUGGUUA